rnacentral:tRNA from 1 species
GUUUCUGUGGCGCAAUCGGUUAGCGCGUUCGGCUGUUAACCGAAAGGUUGAUGGUUCAAAUCCAUCCAGAAAAC